AGUUGCUCCCUGGAGCUUGGGGAGGUCGGAGGACUGGCUGCCUUGCAGGUAGAGGGCAGCUAGCACUUUGGAUAGAGCAGUGCUGGGCAGGAUCAGGGGAGCGAGGAAGGGGCAAAAACAGAGUGUGACACAGACACAGCCUGAGGGCUGUGUCCUGAAGAGGAUGCUGUAUCCAUGCUUCCUGGAACAGAGGUGACAGUGGGUGAGAGUGCCAGCAGAGGGUGCAGCACUAAUUCCCUGGACAGCCAGCAGGAGGCACCGCAGUGGUGAGUAGUGCCCCAUCACACAGGUGGAGGGGAUGAAAACCUGGCAAGUCUGGAGCAAGAGGGAAGUGCUGCCUCUGCAACAUAGUUUCCUUUUCACCCCAGCCCUCUGGAAGCUCCCCGGCCAGUUCAUGGAAGGAAUCAAGCCAGUGUGGAGCUGGAAAUGGCUGACCUCUGCAGCAGCUCCACCACCUCCCCAAAGCCCUGUGGCACCUUGGCUGAGUCCAGGUCCCUGUCCCCCUGCACGCUGGUAGAAGCGCUGCUGCACUGACUGACCACAGCAGAGCAGCGUUGUGCUGCACCUCCAUACAGGUGAAAAUGGAUCCACUACUGACAGCAGCUUUUUUGUCCACUGGGGAUACCUGGAUGCUGAUCAAUGUGUGGGGGGAAGUGCACCAUCCUCAGACAUUCAGCUGGAGCAGCAGGAACUUUCACCUGUAUCCAGAAGUUUCACGGAGGUUGGAGCAGGCGAGCGUUGAGCAGGCUCUGUCCCAGUGCCAGGAAUGCAUGAAGCACUCGAGGCUCCCAUACAGGAAAGCCAAAAACUCCAACAGUCAGUCCUGGAGGGCUCAUCGUAUAAUGUCCCUUCUAUGAAGAGCUGGACUGGGUGCUGUCAAGAGCCCCUCGUACUGAGCCUGAAGUGGCUCACAGUCCCCUCCUCGGCCCCACCUAUCUCAUUCUCCACGAGGACAUUGAUGAGGGCCAGGGUGAGGAGGAAGUAGGGUCUGUGGGAUGCGCCAGAAGACUUGGAGCAUGUGGUUCCAUGCCUGUACCCAGAGGGCCAGCUUGAAGAAACCUCCUGUGAUGCAACUGAGGAGGACCUUGAGCUGUGUCAGGAGCCAGAAUGGCUACAUUACAAUGGACCCCCACCCUCUCCACUGAUGUGCCCUACUGCUCUAGUGCUACAUUCCUGAUUUUAAUAUCAAGAGCAUCUGAAGUCCUGUGCCGACUUUUCCACCUUGGACAAUAUGCCAUGCAUUGCUACGUCUCUGGGUCUUUGAACUGCAGUGCUGAAGUCACAGCAUUGUCAUGCCUCAUUCCCCUACUGAACUCCUCCAACAUUCCCCCCACCCCCAUCUAGCCCCAACUCUGCUCCACCUCAAAACGGGCCUCAAGCCAGACAGAGUUCUAAAUCAAUGAUUUUUAUUGAUUUCUGAUGACCCAGAAGUAUGCAGUUGGCUUCUCAAGCUAUUUUUUCAAAAAAACACUUUAUAAUGGAAAAAAUCAGCAUGCCCCAGUAUCUGUUUAAUUCUCAGCCAGCCAGCAGUCAUGCAGCAAUGGUUCUGGACCUGUGUGGAUUGGUCAGUGAGAUUUGGAAAGGACCUGGUUGGGGAAGGGUAUAGAAAACUUUACAGUUGGUUGUCUAAGGAAAGUUUACAGCCUCUGUCCCUGGUAUCUGCCCUUUCCCGGCACAGAGCCAUGCUGCACAAGCUUACCAUUAUUAGCCUCUGCUUCUUUCUUGUGGGCUGCAAAAUUUGUCUGAGAGCAGCAAAGGCAAUGAGACAGGUACAUUCCUAGAACGCUGAAAAGUAUCAAAAUUGUGGCCUUCUACAGCAAGCUUAUGUUAUGUGGGGGGAUUUCUCGGCUUGUUCCAAUGGCCAGAAAUAUAGUGCUACUCUUCUCUUUGAAUUGGCAAGACCUUUGACUCCCAAGAGCAAAUCAUUCCACCGGCUAGGAGCAACACCCCAGAGACAGCAGAGGUAGGUGGAGAAAGACCAUGGAGGAGCUGCUCAGAGGGAUGGACAGGAGAAACCAGGAGCAAUUUGAAUUCCUCAGGGCAUAAGAGGAUCUGGCUCUUCAGCUGGAGGAGACACAUAUCACCAGGUCAGAGAAUGGGAGCACUCCCUAAUGGAGAGGCUCCUUGAACUGGUGGCCAAAAAGAGUAUGGUGUCUGCUUGCUGCUGACACCCCAGAACCAGCCCAUCAGAUGCUGCCUCCUCCGCUUGUCACCCAGGGUGCUGCCAAGCCAGAGGAUCCUGUCACAGUGACUCCCCCCAGCUGACCAGGAGGAGAAUGCUGGUCCUCCAGGAGUCCUGGAACACCACCACAUACCAACCCUGGAAAUCUGUCACAGGAGAUGUCACCAGUUCUCACUUGCCGUCACUGUCCCCCCGUUGCUCACCCCUUCUGAAAAGGAGGUGGGCAUAAAGACAUUAAGCUAUGGGCAACGUUCUCACUUGUGAGCGGUUACUUUGGUAACAAUAUGGUGUAGUUCUGAUUUCAAAAUCUUUCCAUCUUCUAACACAUACUUUUCAUAAUUAUGCUUUGCUUACUGUGUGCUAGUCCUCCUUCCUAACGAACUGAAGGUGAUUUUUUUCAUUCUUCAGUGGGACUCAAGCUUCCCACCACAUACAAUGGAGUGUUGGGUAAAAACUUGGUGCCAUCUUAGUGCAAAUAUUUUUGAGUCUUCCCCGAAAGAUUCAGAAAUAUCUUAAGUCAUGUGGAUACACGGGAGGGAUGGGGAAAGGGCAGGGUAUGGUGUUAUGUGCUUUAAAAAUCACUACUAUUUUUCUCCGUAGCAGAUGUCUAAAACACACAGAAAAGGUCAAUCAAUGGCUUAAGGAUUUUAUUACACAUGUUGAAAAUCAAAACCCAAGAACACUAAGAAAGGAAGAGGGAACAUAGAGGUAAUAAUGUCAGCCACUCCCCCACCCCUUGGGAAACCUUAACGCCUGGUCUACAGUACAAAGUUAGGUCAACAUUAGCUAUCUUGAAUUGACCAAGUUGUGCACAAGUCUACACUUUAAAGUUGUGUCCACCGAUGUAAAUGCCCUGUUAUGCUGA